rnacentral:rRNA from 1 species
UACGUAGGUGGCAAGCGUUGUCCGGAGUUAUUGGGCGUAAAGCGCGCGCAGGCGGUGCGGUAAGUCUCUGGUGAAAGCGCUCGGCUUAACUGGGCGAGGGCCGGGGAGACUGCCACGCUGGAGGGGAGCAGAGGCGAGUGGAAUUCCGGGUGUAGUGGUGAAAUGCGUGGAGAUCCGGGAGGAACACCAGUGGCGAAAGCGACGUGCUGGACCUCUUCUGACGCUGGAGGCGCGGAAAGCUACGGGGAGCAAACGGG